UUAUAAUAUUGAAACAUAUUCAAAUGUAAAACUAGAUUUUGCAAACCACAUGCAAACAACCGCGAAAAGCCAAUAAAACUAAUAUUAACACCACCUACGGGAUGCGGCCAGUGAUGCUGUUUGGCUGAAAUUCACUUUCUCUGGACCUUUUGAAUCCGACAUGCUGGUGCUCUCAGCUGCCAUGGAAUAAUGACUCAGUUUCCCCACUAGUCUUCUUGAGUCCAGGAAGAGCAGCCAAGCCCUCCUCGCCAGGGCGGGGGAGCUGAGAGCCCAGGGGUGUCUCCUGGGUUCAGCCAUGGGGGGCGCAUCGUGCCGGGAGGUGGUGGAUGGGUGCCCUCUCCCCUGCGCCUCGUUUCCUACAGCAGCAUGUCUCUCUGUUCUGCUCUUGACGGCCGUUUCCAUCUUCUGGCAUUAGGAACAAGGCCACCAUGACCAUUUGUGUGCAUAUAUCUUGGUGCCAUUACUACACUCAACUUCUCCAGUUGCCAAGUCAGACAUUUGGAAUUUCAAGUUGACUGGAUGCCGUUAAACCAUUUCCCAAAGCGGUUUCACCAAUUUGUGCUCAGCGCAUGGGAGUGCCCAUUCCUCCCCAGCCCUGUCCACACAGCAUCUUCGCCGACCUGGCGUCUGUGUCGUGGUAAUUCGCUGUGGUUAACGUGCACCUCCCUGAUGCCCGAGAGGCUGGGCACCUUUUCCGUGGCUUAUGGCCAUUCGGGUUUCCUCUUUGCAAAGCACCAAAGUGUCCAGUAUCCUGCCUGUUUUCCUAUUCGGUUGCCUGCUGUUUUGUAAUCGAUUUUCUCGGGAGCACUUUACCUAUUCUGGAUACAAAGUCUUGUGGGUUCCAUACAUUGCAAAUAUCUUCUUCUCUUCUGUGACUUGUCUUCUUUGGGAUCUUGGGACUUUUCCUUCCUUAAUUCACUUUAACAAACCUUUACCAAACAUUCAGGGCCCGAUGCUGAGUGGGAGAGAAUAGGGCGUCCUCCGCCCUUUGGGAUUCCACCAAGGACAGGUGACACAGGAUGGAGCCAAACCAGGUGCAGCAGGGGAGGGGCCGGCUGGCCCACAUGCCGGGGACUUCGCCCAGGGGGUGAGUCUCAAAGUGGGAGAGCAUCAGGCAGACAAGGGAGGGAAGACCUUUGCUGGUCAGCAGGGUGUGCGUGGAAGGGUCUCGGGCCCAGCAGCUCCCACCCGGCCCUGGACUCCAGAAGCGAGAAGAAAUGAUUCUUCCCCAUUUGUGUGUCUCUUUCUUUAUCCUCUCUGCAGAGGAUGGAGGAAAGCCUAUGUGGUGAGCGGCCUUGGGAAGUGCCCACUGGACGCCGAGUCCUCAGCAGCCGACCCCCCGGAAGUUAAUUUGGGAAGAGUGAGGAGAGUCGGGGUGAGGACGGACAGCCUGCUGUGGGCCCCGGCCCCUCCCAGCCGCAUACGCACUCAGCUGUCCCGGAAGACAAGAGCACACAACUUCUCUCUCUGGAAAAGGAAGACGGGCAGACCACUGGAGCAGGAGUCCGGGAAGAUCCGUACGGACCGGGCAGAGGGAAAAGCCGAACCAGGCCCAGACCAGAGAGCAACCACCUAGAAGCCACCUCCUGCCACUGGCCCGGCUCACACACUCGCCCGGCACAGCUGGGCAGCCCCCUCGCUGUGCCUCCACCCCUGCCGGCUGCUGCUUCCGGGUGCUGGGCCGUGAGUGCACACUGAUGGGCUGCGGGAACCAGGGGACGCAGAGCCUGUGAGGGGCCGGCUGGCAGUCUUGCCUAUCCAGGGUGCUGGCUGGAGGCCAGGAGUCCAGUGGCUGCCGAGAGAGACGAGAGACGAUGAGAGGGGAAAUGGAGCACCUGGACCACCUUCCCUCCGGGGCCUGGCACCUGAGCUCGGUCUCCACAAGCUGGGACCAAAA
ensembl:lncRNA